CGUUUAGGGGUAAACCUGAGAAACCCGAAAGGUCGAAGGGAGAAAUUCAUUCGCGUUUCGCGGCCGAAGUCGGACGAUCGCGCGACGGAAAUCUUUUCGUAAGAAUUUUUCGCCACUUUCGUUCGUCACGAUCGGCUACGAACGCGUGCACUUUUCUCUUGGUAGGACGUCGCGAUUCGUUGAGUGUCGGUCUACGGCUCGCGGUGGAGCCCGUCCGUCGAAGAUUCUCUUCGUACGGACGGACCCGCGGUGUCCCGGCCGACUCGCUCGACGGUAUACGAACGGUUCGAGGCCGCUCCUAUUUUUAGUAGCGUCCGACCGGCGACAAGCGCGCCGGAUGCGUCGACGAUCGGACCCGGUGCCGAUCGCGACCUCCGGUGGCUGUUGGUCGUCGAGUUCUUGGACAGACCUCGGUCGUGUGCGUUUUUUACGUAUACGAUUAACCGAUCUGCGACGCUAUAGCUUUGGGUACUUUCAGGACCCGUCUUGAAACACGGACCAAGGAGUCUAGCAUGUGCGCGAGUCGUUGGGAAUUUCUAAACCUAAAGGCGCAAUGAAAGUAAAAGUCUUCCUCGCGAAGACACUUAGGGAAGACGGGCGGUUCGCCCUUAAAAGUGGUCGCCCCGCAUUCCCGGGGCGUCUCGUUCUCAUCGCGAGAAGAGGCGCACCAAGAGCGUACACGCUGGGACCCGAAAGAUGGUGAACUAU
rnacentral:rRNA from 1 species